rnacentral:rRNA from 1 species
GCACGGAGCUGGGUAGCUAUGUCGACUUUGGAUAAGUGCUGAAGGCAUAUAAGCGCGAAGCCAACUCGAAGACGUGAUCUCUCAUCGUCGCAAGACGAGGUAGACCCCUGGUAGACUACCAGGUUGAUAGGCUGGAGGUGUAAGCGCAGCGAUGCGUUGAGCUGACCAGUACUAAUAGGUCGGGGACGUCAUU